CAUUUUUGAAUUUUUAAGCUUUAUCAUACACUAUUUCAGCAGUUCCCAACCAUUUUAGUUGUGCAGACCACCAAUUAUGUAAAAAAAACUUUUGAGGCCCACUAACCUAAUAUACAGUUUACUGACCCUUGAAUUAGACUCUACCAGUGUCCGUGGCCCAGUAUUACAUUGCCGCAUUCCAUGGGUUGGGAACUGAUAUACUAUAUGUUGAUCUAGGACACAUCGCCGUCGCCACUACGCCGUAAAAAAAUUUUGCCAUCACCAUUUUGACAUAAGGCCACUUCGCCAUUAAAAAAUACCCAAUAUGUUUUAAAAAAAUUAGAUAUAUUUUAUAAUGAAUGUUUACUGCCUGAAUUGAUCAGUUCACUAUUUGGCAAACAUUUUUUAGUUAGCGACAUAAGAGAUCCGGUGACAAUUUUGAGAGAACAGGAAGCCAGAAAAAAAUAGUGACUAUCUUUAAUAAUGUGUCAUAGAAAAAAAGGCCUACUAAAUAGUACAUUUCAGGGUAUGCUGAAAAUGUACUGAGUACCAUUUAAUUUGUUUUAUUGGUUGUUUUUAAAUUGUAAUAAAAAUAUAAUGUUUAAUAAUAAACAUUAUAAUAAUAAUAAUAAAUUAGAAAUUUAUAAUAUACAUUUGUCACAUAUAUUUUAAGAAGUAAGUAAUUAAUCUAUAAAUAUAAAUCAAGCUAUGCUGUACGCAAUUUAUUGUGCCUUAUGGCGUGGUUAUGGC